GGCUGGGUGGUGUAGUUGGUUAUCACGUUUGUCUAACAUGCGGAGUCUAAUAUUUAGGCUCCAUUGUGUACACAAAAGGUCCCGAGUUCAAGUCUCGGCCGAGUCA